UUGAACGCUGGCGGCAGGCCUAACCCAUGCAAGUCGCACGGUAACAGGAAGAAGCUUGCUUCUUUGCUGACGAGUGGCGGACGGGUGAGUAAUGUCUGGGAAACUGCCUGAUGGAGGGGGAUAACUACUGGAAACGGUAGCUAAUACCGCAUAACGUCGCAAGACCAAAAAGGGGGACCUUCGGGCCUCUUGCCAUCGGAUGUGCCCAGAUGGGAUUAGCUAGUAGGUGGGGUAACGGCUCACCUAGGCGACGAUCCCUAGCUGGUCUGAGAGGAUGACCAGCCACACUGGAACUGAGACACGGUCCAGACUCCUACGGGAGGCAGCAGUGGGGAAUAUUGCACAAUGGGCGCAAGCCUGAUGCAGCCAUGCCGCGUGUAUGAAGAAGGCCUUCGGGUUGUAAAGUACUUUCAGCGGGGAGGAAGGGAGUAAAGUUAAUACCUUUGCUCAUUGACGUUACCCGCAGAAGAAGCACCGGCUAACUCCGUG
rnacentral:rRNA from 1 species